AGUGAACGCUGGCGGCAGGCCUAAUACAUGCAAGUCGAGCGAACGGAUGGGGAGCGCUCUCCUCUGCCGUUGGCGACGGACGGGUGAGUAACACGUAGAUAACCUACCUAUAAGACUGGGGUAACUUCGGGGAACCGGAUCCAAUACCGGAUCAUAUGUUGAACGGCAGGGUUCAAUAGAUCAAGGCACUUUUGCUGACACUUAGAGAUGGAUCCGCGUCGCAUUGGCUAGUUGGUAAGGUAACGGCUAACCAAGGCUACGAUGCGUAGCUGAUCUGAGAGGAUGAUCAGCCACACUGGAACUGAGACACGGUCCAGACUCCUACGGGAGGCAGCAGUAGGGAAUAUUCCACAAUGGGCGAAAGCCUGAUGCAGCCAUGCCGCGUGAGUGAUGAAGGUCUUCGGAUUGUAAAACUCUUUUAUUAGGGAAGAAAAACAGUAUAUGAAUAUCUCGCCGUUUUGACGGUACCUAAAGAGAAAGCAACGGCUAACUUCGUG
rnacentral:rRNA from 1 species